CAGUCGCCGCGGGAAUACGUAGGGUGCGAGCGUUAAUCGGAAUUACUGGGCGUAAAGCGUGCGCAGGCGGUUUUGUAAGACAGGCGUGAAAUCCCCGGGCUCAACCUGGGAAUGGCGCUUGUGAAUGCAAAGCUAGAGUGCGGCAGAGGGGGAUGGAAUUCCGCGUGUGGCAGUGAAAUGCGUAGAUAUGCGGAGGAACACUGAUGGCGAAGGCAAUCCCCUGGGCCUGCACUGACGCUCAUGCACGAAAGCGUGGGGAGCAAACAGGAUUAGAUACCCCGGUAGUCCCUGUCUCUUAUAC
rnacentral:rRNA from 1 species